AUUGAACGCUGGCGGCAGGCUUAACACAUGCAAGUCGAGCGGGGGAAGGUAGCUUGCUACCGGACCUAGCGGCGGACGGGUGAGUAAUGCUUAGGAAUCUGCCUAUUAGUGGGGGACAACAUCUCGAAAGGGAUGCUAAUACCGCAUACGUCCUACGGGAGAAAGCAGGGGAUCUUCGGACCUUGCGCUAAUAGAUGAGCCUAAGUCGGAUUAGCUAGUUGGUGGGGUAAAGGCCUACCAAGGCGACGAUCUGUAGCGGGUCUGAGAGGAUGAUCCGCCACACUGGGACUGAGACACGGCCCAGACUCCUACGGGAGGCAGCAGUGGGAAUAUUGGACAAUGGGGGGGAACCCUGAUCCAGCCAUGCCGCGUGUGUGAAGAAGGCCUUAUGGUUGUAAAGCACUUUAAGCGAGGAGGAGGCUACUUUAGUUAAUACCUAGAGAUAGUGGACGUUACUCGCAGAAUAAGCACCGGCUAACUCUGUGCCAGCAGCCGCGGUAA
rnacentral:rRNA from 1 species